rnacentral:tRNA from 1 species
AUUUAUAUAGUUUAAAAAAAACCUUACAUUUUCAUUGUAAAAUUAAAAUAUUUUUUUUUAUAAAUU